rfam:Ictidomys tridecemlineatus contig042631, whole genome shotgun sequence.
GGGUGUGGCUCAGUGGUAAAGCCUAUGCCUAGCAUGCACAAAGCCCUGGGUUCCAUCCCUAGCACUACCA